rnacentral:lncRNA from 1 species
CAACAUUGGAGAUCCACUCAGGAUAAUUGACUUCCUUAAUAAAUCCGGCCUUGAGAAGCUUAUCCACUUCCUCGACUAUCGCCUUCUGCCUCUCUGGGGCAUGACUCCAGAUUUUUUCUUUUGUAGGCCGAUGUUUAGGGUCGACCGCCAGAUGAUGUUCCAUGACUUCUGUGUCGAUCCCCGGCAUAUCCGUCGGGACCCAUGCGAAAAUGUCUGCAUUCCUUCGGAGGAAAUCUACGAGACGCG